rnacentral:lncRNA from 1 species
AUUUGUAACAAUUUUGUAUUAGACUAUUAAUUUGUUCAUGAUAGUUUGUAAAAGAAGUUUGUAUCCCUUGCAUGCUGCGUUACUUACUAAUUUAAUGUAUAUAACUUUUGUAAUGGAUAUUAAUGUAAGAUAUAUUUCAAACUUUACUUUUAUUUGAAUUUUUUAUUUUAAUAUGAUUAACUCAAAAUCGAAAAAAAAAAUAUAUUAGUUAUUCGGGGAUCGGGGACC